AUUAGCUGUGCCCUGCAAACAUCAUUAGGAAGGGAGACGCUUUCCACCGUCAGCGCCGGAGCAGAGCAGGGGAGCCCUGGCAACAAGGAGAGACAAACUCAGCAGCCCGUUACACCCUACAGGAAUAGUGACAGCACCUGCAGACACACAGACGUGGACAGACGGCGCAGGCACCCCGGAACGCUUCCCUCCCGCUGGUGGAGAGAUUCAGACUUCACACCAGGAACUGCAGCUCCAGUCGGUUGUCAGCUCUCCACUGAGCAGCAGGCUCCACCUACUCCGCCCAAGCAGCUCUGCCUCCUCGGCUCAGUCUCUAUCCACGCUCAAUCUUCUUCCUCCCUCCUCUUCUCCUCCUUUCUGUAUCCUCACCCGCCACUGUCGGAGCUCCUCCGUCGGUCCUUUAUCUCCGUCUCACCAGCUGUGUGCUGAAGCUCCAUGCUCUCCUACGGGGGAGAGUAGAAUGAAUAGAAAGGGCUUACUGAGGACAGUGAGAAAGCCAAUCCCUGCCUUUCGUCUCGUUGAACACGUCUCCUGUCGUGUCCUCUCCUCUCCUCUGUCCUAA
rnacentral:lncRNA from 1 species